UACAGAGGGUGCGAGCGUUAAUCGGAAUUACUGGGCGUAAAGCGCGCGUUAGGCGGCUUUAUAAGUCGGGGGUGAAAGCCUGUGGCUCAACCACAGAAUUGCCUUCGAUACUGUAGAGCGUUGAGACCGGAAGAGGUAAGUGGAACUGCGAGUGUAGAGGUGAAAUUCGUAGAUAUUCGCAAGAACACCAGUGGCGAAGGCGGCUUACUGGUCCGGUUCUGACGCUGAGGCGGCGAAAAGCGUGGGGAGCAAACAGG
rnacentral:rRNA from 1 species